rnacentral:rRNA from 1 species
CCUACGGGUGGCUGCAGUCGAGAAUCAUGCACAAUGGGGGAAACCCUGAUGGGGCGACGCCGCGUGGGGGAAUGAAGGUCUGCGGAUUGUAAACCCCUGUCAUGGGGGAGCAAAUUAAAAAGAUAGUACCACAAGAGGAAGAGACGGCUAACGCUGAGCCAGCAGCCGCGGUAAUACAGAGGUCUCAAGCGUUGUUCGGAAUCACUGGGCGUAAAGCUUGCGGAGGCUGUUUCGUCAGUCGUGUGUGAAAGGCGCGGGCUCAACCCGCGGACGGCACAUGAGACUGCGAGACUAGAGUACUGGAGUGGGAACCGGAAUUCUCGUUGUCGCCGU